rnacentral:rRNA from 1 species
GGCGAAGGCGACUUCCUGGUCACGUAUUGAAGUGGAGGUGCGGAAAGCGUGGGGGAGCAAACAGGAUUAGAUACCCUGGUAUUCCACGCUGUAAACGAUGAUGACUAGCUUGUCUGGGCGCUUUAGCGUUCAGUUGGCGCAGCCUAACGCGUUAAGUCCAUCCGCCCUGGGGAGUACGGCCGCAAGGUUAAAACUUCAAAGAAAUUUGACGGGGGCCUGCACAAAGCGGUGGAGCAUGUGGUUUAAAUCGAAGCAACGCGCAGAACUUUACCAGCGUUUGACAUGCCAGGACGGUUUUCCAGAGAUGGAUCCCUUCCCUUACGGGACCUGGACACAGGUGCUGCAUGGCUGUCGUACAGCUCGUGUCGUGAGAUGUUGGGUUAAGUCCCGCAACGAGCGCAACCCUCGUCUUUAGUUGCUACCAUUUAGUUGGGCACUAUAAAGAAACUGCCGGUGAUAAGCCGGAGGAAGGUGGGGAUGACGUCAAGUCCUCAUGGCCCUUACGCGCUGGGCUACACACGUGCUACAAUGGCGGUGACAGAGGGCUGCAAACCCGCGAGGGUGAGCUAAUCUCCAAAAGCCGUCUCAGUUCGGAUUGUUCUCUGCAACUCGAGAGCAUGAAGGCGGAAUCGCUAGUAAUCGCGGAUCAGCACGCCGCGGUGAAUACGUUCCCAGGCCUUGUACACACCGCCCGUCACACCAUGGGAGUUGGUUUCACCCGAAGACGGUGCGCUAACCCGCAAGGGAGGCAGCCGGCCACGGUGGGAUCAGCGACUGGGGUGAAGUCGUAACAAGGUAGCCGUAGGGGA